GGCAAGAUGGCCGAGUGGUCUAAGGCGCAAGACUAAGGAUCUUGUGGGACAUCCCGCGUGGGUUCGAAUCCCACUCUUGUCA